rfam:Rhodoluna lacicola strain MWH-Ta8 chromosome, complete genome.
UGGGUCGGCAAGGCGAUCGCGAUGGAAACAUCGAGGAACGUCCGGGCUCCAAAGAGCAAAACGGUGGCUAAUUACCACCCGGGGUAACCCGCGAGAAAGUGCAACAGAAAGUAAACCGCCGAGAGAUCGGUAAGGGUGAAACGGUGGUGUAAGAGACCACCAGUGUGGCGUGUGAGCGCCACAGCUAGGUAAACCUCGUUUGGAGCAAGGUCAGAUAGGGAACGCAUAGAGCUGCUCGCUCUUGUUCUCGGGUAGGCCGCUUGAGGGUGUUGGUAACAGCACUUCUAGAUAGAUGAUCGUCGCCUGGCAACAGGUACAGAACCCGGCGUAACAGCCGGCCCGUCCA